rnacentral:rRNA from 1 species
GACGAACGCUGGCGGCGUGCUUAACACAUGCAAGUCGAACGGAAAGGCCCUGCUUUUGUGGGGUGCUCGAGUGGCGAACGGGUGAGUAACACGUGAGUAACCUGCCCUUGACUUUGGGAUAACUUCAGGAAACUGGGGCUAAUACCGGAUAGGAGCUCCUGCUGCAUGGUGGGGGUUGGAAAGUUUCGGCGGCUGGGGAUGGACUCGCGGCUUAUCAGCUUGUUGGUGGGGUAGUGGCUUACCAAGGCUUUGACGGGUAGCCGGCCUGAGAGGGUGACCGGCCACAUUGGGACUGAGAUACGGCCCAGACUCCUACGGGAGGCAGCAGUGGGGAAUAGUGCACAAUGGGCGGAAGCCUGAUGCAGCAACGCCGCGUGCGGGAUGACGGCCUUCGGGUUGUAUACCGCUUUCGCCUGUGACGAAGCGUGAGUGACGGUAAUGGGUAAAGAAGCACCGGCUAACUACGUG